GACGAACGCUGGCGGCGUGCUUAACACAUGCAAGUCGAACGGAAAGGCCCUGCUUUGGUGGGGUGCUCGAGUGGCGAACGGGUGAGUAACACGUGAGUAACCUGCCCUGGACUUUGGGAUAACUUCAGGAAACUGGGGCUAAUACCGGAUAGGAGCUCCUGCUGCAUGGUGGGGGUUGGAAAGUUUCGGCGGUUGCGGUUGGACUCGCGGCUGAUCAGCUUGUUGGUGGGGGAGUGGCUUACCAAGGCUUUGACGGGUAGCCGGCCUGAGAGGGGGACCGGCCCCAUUGGGCCUGAGAUACGGCCCAGAGGGCAACGGGAGGCAGCAGUGGGAAAUAUUGCACAAUGGGCCGAAGUCUGAUGCAGCAGCGCCGGGUGCGGAAUGACGGUUUUAGGGGUGUAAACCGCUUUCGGCUGUGACGAAGCGUGAGUGACGGUAAUGGGUAAAGAAGCACCGGCUAACUACGUG
rnacentral:rRNA from 1 species